CAGCAGCCGCGGUAAUACGAAGGGGGCUAGCGUUGUUCGGAAUUACUGGGCGUAAAGCGCACGUAGGCGGAUAUUUAAGUCAGGGGUGAAAUCCCAGAGCUCAACUCUGGAACUGCCUUUGAUACUGGGUAUCUUGAGUAUGGAAGAGGUGAGUGGAAUUCCGAGUGUAGAGGUGAAAUUCGUAGAUAUUCGGAGGAACACCAGUGGCGAAGGCGGCUCACUGGUCCAUUACUGACGCUGAGGUGCGAAAGCGUGGGGAGCAAGCAGGAUUAGAUACCCCUGUAGUCCCUGUCUCUUAUAC
rnacentral:rRNA from 1 species